rnacentral:rRNA from 1 species
GAUGAACGCUGGCGGCGUGCCUAAUACAUGCAAGUCGAGCGAACAGAUGAGGAGCUUGCUCCUCUGACGUUAGCGGCGGACGGGUGAGUAACACGUGGAUAACCUACCUAUAAGACUGGGAUAACUUCGGGAACCCGGAGCUAAUACCGGAUAAUAUAUUGAACCGCAUGGUUCAAUAGUGAAAGACGGUUUUGCUGUCACUUAUAGAUGGAUCCGCGCCGCAUUAGCUAGUUGGUAAGGUAACGGCUUACCAAGGCAACGAUGCGUAGCCGACCUGAGAGGGUGAUCAGCCACACUGGAACUGAGACACGGUCCAGACUCCUACGGGAGGCAGCAGUAGGGAAUCUUCCGCAAUGGGCGAAAGCCUGACGGAGCAACGCCGCGUGAGUGAUGAAGGUCUUCGGAUCGUAAAACUCUGUUAGUAGGGAAGAACGAAAGUGUAAGUAACUAUGCACGUCUUGACGGUACCUAAUGAGAAAGCCACGGCUAACUACGUG